GGGGUCUGAAGAAGCAGCUUAUCUCGCUCCUCAAUAUCUCCACCGAUGUGGUAUGGAAGGCCACAGUUUGCGAAGGAUACAAAUUCGCCACGUUCAAACAUUAUAAUCUGUGCAUCUUCGCUUAAACGGCGUGCUCGUGCUGCCGCUGAUGCGCCACCGGCUACGCCGC
rfam:Vibrio sp. JCM 19231 DNA, contig00047.